GGAGUUGGCUAGGCAAUCGCUGCUUCGUCGUUGUGCGCUCUUUCGGGAGUGGCAGACGGGCGAAGGGGAGGAAAGUCCGGGCUCUAUAGGGUAGGGUGCCAGGUAACGCCUGGGGGGCGCGAGCCCACGACAAGUGCAGCAGAGAGAAGACCGCCGAUGGCUCCUUGGAGUACAGGUAAGGCUGAAAGGGUGCGGUAAGAGCGCACCGCGCGUCUGGUAACAGUAUGCGGCGAGGUAAACUCCACCCAGAGCAAGGCCAAAUAGGCCCCCUUAAGGCGCGACCCGCGUUGGGGGCGGGUAGGCUGCUUGAGCCAUUAAGCGAUUAAUGGCCUAGACGAAUGAUUGUUCACGACAAAACCCGGCUUAUCGGCCAACUCCCUUU
rfam:Agarivorans albus MKT 106 DNA, contig: contig00005.